rnacentral:lncRNA from 1 species
GACAUAUUCCUAGAAAGAAAUAGGCAAGUUUGUAAAGCACAACAUGGACCGCACCAUAUCUAAUAAAGUAUGAUUCUUCCUUUUUGCUAUAUCAUUUAGCUAUGGUGUAUAAGGAGGGGUCCACUCUGAGAGAAUUCUAUUUUCUUUAAGAUGAUCUAAAAACUCAUUGGAUAAGUAUUUUUCUUAUGGAUUAGAUCGAAAGAUUUUAAUAUUUUUUUCAGCUUAUUUCUCGGCCAU